rnacentral:misc_RNA from 1 species
GAUGAAGAACGUAGCGAAAUGCGAUAAGUAAUGUGAAUUGCAGAAUUCAGUGAAUCAUCGAAUCUUUGAACGCACAUUGCGCCCGCCAGUAUUCUGGCGGGCAUGCCUGUUCGAGCGUCAUUUCAACCAUCAAGCCCCCGGCUUGUGUUGGGGACCUGCGGCUGCCGCAGGCCCUGAAAAGCAGUGGCGGGCUCGCUGUCACACCGAGCGUAGUAGAUUUCAUCUCGCUCAGGGCGUGCUGCGGGUUCCGGCCGUUAAACCACCUUCAUAACCCAAGGUUGACCUCGGAUCAGGUAGGAAGACCCGCUGAACUUAAGCAUAUCAAUAAGCGGAGA